rnacentral:lncRNA from 1 species
AAUGUCUAUAUAUUGUUAUUUAUUAGUUAAGCAUGUGGAAUAAUUUUAUACUUUUAACAAAUGUUGUACAUGUAUUAUUUUUUCAAGACAUUAAAUCUAGCUUACAUUUGAUUUAUUGAACAGUUAUAUUUAGGGAAGUUUUAUUAUGAUUAUAGAGGUGUUUAAAAUUAAAAGACCUAUUGUAUAUAUGGGCUAAUUCUUAUAUUUUAUAAACUACUCCAGGGAGAAAAUGUUAACAUGUAUAUAAGGCUAUUUCAAAAAUAUCAUAACAUUUUUAUUCAGAAGAGGCAUUUUACAAGCUAAAGAUUGUGAAAAAAUUGUCAGAUUUUGUACAAAAUAUACAAGAAAAGUGACUUUUAGGUGAAUAGAAAUUAGCAAUAUAAUUAGAGAAUAAGAUUUGAGAAGAUAGCUCUUACAAAUGAAAUUGCAGAUUUAUAAUGUAGAUAAUCUGUCUCAGCCUGAUGAUAAGUUUUUGUACUUACAUAUACUCAUAUCCAUAUAUAUAAUUUUUUUUCAAUUUAAUGCCACAAUGAGAUUUUAUUUGUUAUGAAUGUGGUAAACAUAUAUUGCCAAUAAAUGUUAUCUUUACAGAGGUUGUAAUGGAUUUUUUUUACUUAGCAAAUUAUUCAAUAGAUGGAUAAUUUGAAUGCGGUCAGAUAAAAUAUAGUAAACAUUUUUAGGAUAUGGUUUAUUAUAGUAUUUACAGAGACUUGAGUGUUUUUAUACAACCGAAAAAUUUUUGCUGAUAUUGGUAUCAUGUCCGCCGCGUAGUUGUCCGAAGAGGGGUGGUUUCCGGAUAAUAACUUUAGUAUAAGUAAAUAGAAAUCAAUAAAAAUUUAACACAAUGUUUAUAACCACAAAAGGAAAAGGAUUGAUUUUGGGGGUUAUUGUCCCUAAGGUUUAGGAAUUAGGGCCCAAAAGGGGAACAAAAAAAGCAUUUAUCUAGUUUCAGGACAAUAAGUUGUGUAUAAGAAUUUUAAUUCCUCUGAAAUUAUACCACAAAUGAAUGUUUAAUACAAUAAGUAGAAGAUUUGGAUUUAUUUUAAGGGUUAUGGGGCAAACAGUCUAGGAAUUAAGGUCCAAAAAGGGGCCAAGACGGGCAUUUAUCUAGUUUCAGGACAAUAAGUUGUGUAAAAUAAUUUUAAUUCCUCUGAAAUUGUACCACAAUGUUUAAUACCAUAAGUAGAAGUUUUGGAUUUAUUUUAAGGGUUAUGGGGGCCAAGACAGGCAUUUUUCUAGUUUUAGGACAAUAACUUGUGUGUAACUGUAUGGAUCUCUCUGACAUUUUUACUCAAGGUUCCAUAUAACAAAGGGAAGGCUUGGAUUGAUUAUUUGGGUUAUGGUCCCAAAGGUUUAGGAAUUAGGGGCCUAAAAAGGGGCCCAAACAAGCAUUUUUGUAGUUUUCAGUCAAUAAGUUGUACAUGUGUAUUUUUAAAAAAAGUAUUUCAAUUGCUCUGUAAUUGUACCACAAUGUUUAAUACCACAAGUAGAAGGUUGGGAUUUAUUUUAAGGGUUAUGGGGCAAACAGUCUAGGAUUUAAGGGCCAAAAGGGGUCAAAACAAGUAUUUUUCUAGUUUAAAGACAAUAACUUGUGUGUAACUGUAUGGAUCUCUCUGCCAUUGUAUCACAAAAUUCCGUAUAACAAAUAGAAUGCUUGGAAUGAUUAUGGAGGUUAUGGUCCAAAAGGUUUAGGAAUUAGGAGCCAAAAAAGGGGCCCAAAUGAGCAUGUUUGUAGUUUCCAGUCAAUAACUUAUGUUUAAGUGUAUAAAUAUCUCUGAUAAAGGACAAUUUAGACAAUUUAAAAGCAGUGUAAGGGAGGUAAUCCAAUAUAAAUUCCAUUUAAAGACUACUGUUUUAUAUAUAUAUUUACACUGCUUGAAAAUAAUGUAUUAAGAAAUGAUGCUUGUCUUGAGAUGUCUUUUAGAAGUUACUUUUAAUCAAUAUUAAAUUUAACCAUGACUCUAUGUCAUUUUGUAUUUCAAUACUUAUGAUGUAUUUAAAUGAGAAGUUAUCAUGGUUAUUGUUGCAAGCUCCAUUAGAAAUUUGAAUUGAGAUUAUUUUUGAAUUAAGGGGAAGUGGUAUAGGUAAAAAAAAAUGGGGAUGGGGGUGGGAGGCGGUACAAUUUUUCUCAUUUCAGAUUUCAGAAAUUAAAAAGAAAAUUUCUUCAAAUGUUUUUUUUUAGGGGAUUAAUAUUCAAAAGGCAUAGUGUAUUGCUCAAAAGCAAAAAAAAAUCAUUUUAAGUUCAUAUGACCACAUUCAUUCUGUGUCAGAAACUUGUGCUGUUUCAACUAUUUUAAAAUUGCAAUCCAAAUUCAGACCUGUAUCAAGCUUGAAUGUUGUGUCCAUACUUGCCCAACCUGUUCAGUGUUUGACCUCUGCAGUUGUAUAAAGCUGUGCCCUGCAGAGCAUCUGGUUUUUUAGUUGUUUUUUUUUAUUUUACCUAUCUGAUUAGUCUAGUCACUUUUCAACUUAUAAGGUACAAUGAGUGUUUAAUAUAUAGGAAUACUGUGAGUAUUUUAACAUUUCUUCUGUUAACACAGAGUAUUUUGUGUCCUGUAUAUAUGUAUGACCCUUUUGAGUCUGAAAUAAAGA